rnacentral:rRNA from 1 species
UCGUAGUCGGAUGUCGGGCUCGGGCAGGCUGUCGGCUUCGGUCGGACGGCAGGCUCGGGUCUUUCUGCCUGAGGAACCCGUGGCACUUAACUGUGCGGCGUGGGGACGCAGGCCGUUUACUUUGAAAAAAUUAGAGUGUUCAAAGCAGGCCUACGCUUGAAUACAUUAGCAUGGAAUAAUGGAAUAGGACUUUGGUGCUAUUUUGUUGGUUUAUGGGACCGAAGUAAUGAUUAACAGGGACAGUUGGGGCCGUUUAUAUUUCGUUGUCAGAGGUGAAAUUCUUGGAUUUACGAAAGAUAAACUUCUGCGAAAGCAUUCGGCAAGGAUGUUUUCAUUGAUCAAGAACGAAAGUUAGGGGAUCGAAGACGAUCAGAUACCGUCGUAGUCUUAACCAUAAACUAUGCCGACUAGGGAUCAGUGGAUGUCAAUUUGCGACUCCAUUGGCACCUUGUGAGAAAUCAAAGUUUUUGGGUUCCGGGGGGAGUAUGGUCGCAAGGCUGAAACUUAAAGGAAUUGACGGAAGGGCACCACCAGGAGUGGAGCC